rnacentral:rRNA from 1 species
GACGAACGCUGGCGGCGUGCUUAACACAUGCAAGUCGAACGGAAAGGCCCUGCUUUUGUGGGGUGCUCGAGUGGCGAACGGGUGAGUAACACGUGAGUAACAUGCCCUUGACUGUGGGAUAACUUCAGGAAACUGGGGCUAAUACCGGAUAGGAGCUCCUGCUGCAUGGUGGGGGUUGGAAAGUUUCGGCGGUUGGGGAUGGACUCGCGGCUUAUCAGCUUGUUGGUGGGGUAGUGGCUUACCAAGGCUUUGACGGGUAGCCGGCCUGAGAGGGUGACCGGCCACAUUGGGACUGAGAUACGGCCCAGACUCCUACGGGAGGCAGCAGUGGGGAAUAUUGCACAAUGGGCGGAAGCCUGAUGCAGCAACGCCGCGUGCGGGAUGACGGCCUUCGGGUUGUAAACCGCUUUCGCCUGUGACGAAGCGUGAGUGACGGUAAUGGGUAAAGAAGCACCGGCUAACUACGUG